rnacentral:rRNA from 1 species
CGUGCCCUGUAGUGGGGGAUAACUAGUCGAAAGAUUAGCUAAUACCGCAUACGACCUGAGGGUGAAAGUGGGGGACCGCAAGGCCUCAUGCUAUAGGAGCGGCCGAUGUCUGAUUAGCUAGUUGGUGGGGUAAAGGCCCACCAAGGCGACGAUCAGUAGCUGGUCUGAGAGGACGAUCAGCCACACUGGGACUGAGACACGGCCCAGACUCCUACGGGAGGCAGCAGUGGGGAAUUUUGGACAAUGGGGGCAACCCUGAUCCAGC